rnacentral:rRNA from 1 species
UCCGAAAGGUGCAAGCGUUACUCGGAAUCACUGGGCGUAAAGCGCACGUAGGCGGACUCACAGGUCAAUUGUGAAAUACCUGGGCUCAACCCGGGAACUGCAGUUGAAACCGUUUGUCUUGAAUACCUGAGAGGGUGGGGGAAUACCUGGUGGAGAAGUGAAAUUCGUAGAGAUCAGGUGGAACACCGGAGGCGAAGGCGCCUGCCUGGCAGUGUAUUGACGCUGAGGUGCGAAAGUGCGGGGAGCAAACAGG